rnacentral:lncRNA from 1 species
UAUAUAUAUAUAAACAUAUGUUCCUCAAUGUAUAACUUUUAGAGAUUACUAAUGUUACUGUCCCCACUACAACAACGAAAUACAUGUAAUCUUUUCCUUGAAACAUGUUAUUGAAAUACUGUAGAAUUCCAUUAAUUACUAUGGAGGAUUGCCCCUACUACGGAGUGCCAAUAUGGCCGACCGGAGGCUUCAAAGCCUCUCAACGACCACCACAUAGCAGCAGCAAUCCAGGGGUUUGGCUUGCGAACGUUGCCAUGACAUCGCCUACAAGUGUGAUCGGGGAUUUCUAUUGGAUAAGUAUUUUCUGGCUAUAUUCACACUGCCGUCUCUGGGCACAGCUAGCUAAACUAUUGGGAGCCACUGCACAUAUAGAGGCGUUUGAGGUCAAUCCAUACAAUUUUGUAAUGUCGAAAUGAUGUGCACGCGCAUUUGUGUAUACGCCCAUCACAAAAUCCGGUGCUAGCUGAGACAGCUCUGCGUCAUCGUACACACUUGAGCUCCUGGAAAGCUGAAAUAACGCAAUUAAUUCACUUAAAGGAAAUGCGUUGAUUGAUGCCAAUUACUCAAUCAGGUUAAGCAAGCUAAUGUGCGUAUUAUCCGAUCACAAAAUAACCUUAACUUCCAAACCACUGUGCAAUAACUGAUUUAUUAAUUUGUUAUCGAUAGAUUUGUGAACCUGCGCAGUGCCUUAAUCAAGCUGAUGCAGAACUGGAUACAAUGUCACCACAUCCUAACAAAGAGACCUUUGUUAGAUGAAGACAACCAGAGUUACAUAUAGCAGGGAGUUCACAUAUGAUCAGAAAACUACAUACGGGUUAUAUAGACGAAUGAAAAUGACAGACUAAAUAUUUUAUUAGUCAUCUCAAGGAUCUUACUUAACCGGAAAUUGCUUGACUGACGUUUUUGCUCCUCACUAAGAGGCAAACAUGAAAAAAAAAAAAAGUAUACAAAUUGUGUAGGACAACACUAAAUACUACAUAAAAACAACCCACAAGUUAAAAGUGGCAGAGUUGCCUUUUAAUACUGUACAUCAUUUAUUUUCCAUCUUUAGAAAAAGCUAUUUCUGAACAUUUUCUACAUCAACCCGGGAGAGCACUUUGAUGCGUUUGGGCAUGGCCACGAUAAUCUCCAUCCCUGCCCUUUUUCUCUUCCCCUUGGAGGUGGGAACUGUUUUGACGCUAGCGUCCUUCUGAACCACCAUGGCCUCACUCUGAGCCUGGAGAACGUCCAGUUUCUGCCUGAGCUCCUGUAGGUGGUCAAUGUCGUUGAUCCCACUCACAUUCUCCAUGAUGGAUUUGAGUUUGGCCACACACUCCCUCUGCAGUUCCUCCUUUUGCAGUUCCUCCCUCUCCCGCAGGCCCUGUGAAGCCUGUGGGGCCACCCACUGUGUGUGUAUGCUAUGCAGUUGUAACUGUGGAGUUUGAGGAGUUUGCACCAGUGGCACUGUUUCUUCAGGCCCAUCCCACUGAAGAGAGACUGGGGAAGCUGGGGAGAGAUGCAUUAGACCAUUGAGGGUUUCCUCCAUCUCCUCUGUUGUGGUGUGAGUGGUCUGUGAAUGCAGCCUGAGCAGAGGGUGGUCCCUGUAUUUGGGACACAGGUGCUCCCAGGUCCAGUUAGGCUCAGACCUGAAGACGUGACAGAAGUGUUCACAGGGCAGGCGCUGGUCCCUCCACACCUCACACUCACAGGAGGGCCAGGUGGACUCUGAACCGAAGCUGACCGUGUAGGACCGUGCUGCCGUGGUCUCUGCCCGACUCUUUACCCGGAAGGUGCCGUCGGCGGCGUCGCUGGCCUGCUCCACCACGAUGUCGGGGUCUUGCAGGGCCGCAGACAUGUUGUCCAUCACCAGGGCCACCACACUCCAAGGGCGAUGCCACAGGAACGGAGGCACAGUGGGGUUGAGGCUGUACUCGCCAGAGGACUGGCUGUUGAGGUCUGUGUACC